CGACUUGAAAAGGCCGCCGAUUGCGCCCAUAUGGGUGGGGCCGGGUUCGCCCGGCUAUGGUGAUAAAUUGUGUCGCGUAAUAGACGCAGCGGACCCGGGGGCAGUACCCGGCGGUUCCACCACAUAUCCCGCCACAUGGCCGUCAUGGCUGUAGGCGGGGUGUCUGACGGGGCCGAACUAGGAUCGACGUGUGUUCAAAGGCGAUGUUUUUACCCGGCCCGUGUAAGCCGUUAAACUGUGCAAAACUCACAAGUGCCAACGAUAACGAAGCACUCGCCAUUGCAGCGUAAUUGAUGGCCUCGCGGCCUGACAUUACUCUAAAAUAGCGCGGUUGAACCCACCGGGCAACAGAAGGGAAUUCA
rnacentral:tmRNA from 1 species